AGUUUGAUCCUGGCUCAGAUUGAACGCUGGCGGCAGGCUUAACACAUGCAAGUCGAACGGUAGCAGGAAGAAAGCUUGCUUUCUUUGCUGACGAGUGGCGGACGGGUGAGUAAUGCUUGGGAAUCUGGCUUAUGGAGGGGGAUAACUGUGGGAAACUGCAGCUAAUACCGCGUAUUCUCUGAGGAGGAAAGGGUGGGACCUUAGGGCCACCUGCCAUAAGAUGAGCCCAAGUGGGAUUAGGUAGUUGGUGGGGUAAAGGCCUACCAAGCCUGCGAUCUCUAGCUGGUCUGAGAGGAUGACCAGCCACACUGGAACUGAGACACGGUCCAGACUCCUACGGGAGGCAGCAGUGGGGAAUAUUGCGCAAUGGGGGGAACCCUGACGCAGCCAUGCCGCGUGAAUGAAGAAGGCCUUCGGGUUGUAAAGUUCUUUCGGUAAUGAGGAAGGGAUGUUGUUAAAUAGAUAGCAUCAUUGACGUUAAUUACAGAAGAAGCACCGGCUAACUCCGUGCCAGCAGCCGCGGUAAUACGGAGGGUGCGAGCGUUAAUCGGAAUAACUGGGCGUAAAGGGCACGCAGGCGGACUUUUAAGUGAGAUGUGAAAUCCCCGAGCUUAACUUGGGAACUGCAUUUCAGACUGGGAGUCUAGAGUACUUUAGGGAGGGGUAGAAUUCCACGUGUAGCGGUGAAAUGCGUAGAGAUGUGGAGGAAUACCGAAGGCGAAGGCAGCCCCUUGGGAAUGUACUGACGCUCAUGUGCGAAAGCGUGGGGAGCAAACAGGAUUAGAUACCCUGGUAGUCCACGCUGUAAACGCUGUCGAUUUGGGGAUUGGGCUAUAUGCUUGGUGCCCGAAGCUAACGUGAUAAAUCGACCGCCUGGGGAGUACGGCCGCAAGGUUAAAACUCAAAGGAAUUGACGG
rnacentral:rRNA from 1 species